rnacentral:rRNA from 1 species
CCAUCAUUCAGUUGGGCACUCUAGCGAGACUGCCGGUAUAAACCGGAGGAAGUGGGGAUGACGUCAAAUCAUCAUGCCCCUUAUGACCUGGGCUACACACGUGCUACAAUGGUUGGUACAACGAGUUGCGAGUCGGUGACGGCGAGCUAAUCUCUUAAAGCCAAUCUCAGUUCGGAUUGUAGGCUGCAACUCGCCUACAUGAAGUCGGAAUCGCUAGUAAUCGCGGAUCAGCACGCCGCGGUGAAUACGUUCCCGGGCCUU